rnacentral:rRNA from 1 species
GAGUUUGAUCCUGGCUCAGGACGAACGCUGGCGGCGUGCUUAACACAUGCAAGUCGUACGAGGACGUGGGGCAACUCCCGAGCCGAGUGGCGAACGGGUGCGUAACACGUGACCAAUCUACCCUUGGGAGAGGGACAACCUGGGGAAACCCGGGCUAAUACCGCAUGACGUGCCGAUGUCGCAUGGCGACGGCACCAAAGGGGGGCCACUGCUAGCAAGCUCCCGCCCAAGGAGGAGGUCGCGGCGUAUCAGCUUGUUGGUGGGGUAACGGCCUACCAAGGCUACGACGCGUAGCGGGUCUGAGAGGACGAUCCGCCACAUUGGGACUGAGAUACGGCCCAGACUCCUACGGGAGGCAGCAGUGGGGAAUAUUGCGCAAUGGUCGAAAGACUGACGCAGCGACGCCGCGUGUGGGAGGAAGCCCUUCGGGGUGUAAACCACUGUCAGGUGGGAAGAACUCCGCGUGUCCAAACAGGGUGCGCGGCUGACGGUACCGCCAGAGGAAGCGCCGGCUAACUCCGUGCCAGCAGCCGCGGUAAGACGGGGGGCGCAAGCGUUGUUCGGAAUUACUGGGCGUAAAGCGCGGGCAGGCGGUCCGUUAAGUCUUUUGUGAAACUCCAGGGCUCAACCCCGGACAUGCAGAAGAUACUGGCGGACUAGAGACCGGUAGAGGCUAGUGGAAUUCCUGGUGUAGCGGUGGAAUGUGUAGAUAUCAGGAAGAACACCAGUGGCGAAGGCGGCUAGCUGGGCCGGAUCUGACGCUCAUCCGCGAGAGCGUGGGGAGCAGACAGGAUUAGAUA